ACCACGACCACCAACCUCCUGUAUCAAUUUCUCCUCACAAACAUCUAAUUCUAAUUCACUUUUGACUCCAAUCAUAUAUAGGGCAUGUUUGGCUAAGCUUUUUGAACCAACUUAUUGAAUUCUAUUAGUCCUUUUUACAAAAGUACUUAUUUUCUUUACCUUAUCAUCACUUUCUUGAAUUCUAUUAUAACAUUCAUCAAUUCCAUCACCUAAAUCACUAUUAUUGAAUUCCAUGAGUUUUUGUAGUUUGUAGUCCUCUGAACUGCUCUGAACUGGGUUUUUUUUUUCAAUUCCAUCAAUGGAAACGCUUUCUACGCUACUCAAUUCUGCUCUUCCUUUCUUCCUCAGAACUAGCCUUUGAGAUCUAAACCAGGGGUAGCGAUGGAGGUUUUUAAAGAACCCAAGUAGUGACGACAUUAUUUUCGCGCUAGGGUUCCGUCGCACAAGUCGCUGCGACGGUUCGUGAUGUCACCAAAUUAGCGAUGUUAAUACAUUGUGUCGAAUAGUUGUUAGGUGAAUACAGUAUAAUCAAUCAGGAAGAUUCGAGAGAAAUCGACAUGAAAAAUCCGCAUGAAUCGAUUAUAUACUUACCGAAUCAGUAGAAGGAAGCUUCAAGCGUGUGUGAAUGUUAGAGAGUUGAUACCUAAUUCAACAUUUGACUGAUCUUCAUGUUUACAAAGAGUUUUGAGGUCAUUAAUGGCGGAAAAUAUGAGGUAAUACCUGAGCCAACGACGGCAGUAAAGGGGCUAGGUUCCAAUCUGUUUCCAAUUCGUCGGCCGACCACCACCUGUAACGCUCCGCUUUUUCCUAACUUUCCUUAAUUAGAAAACGUGUCUUGUAUUUCUAUUUUUGGAAGCUUAUUCCUUUUGUAUUUCGUAUUUCGUUUCAAACCAUUGUAAAUCCGAGACUUAGAUCGCAAUGAAAUUCUAUUUUUAUACA